UACGUAGGGUGCAAGCGUUGUCCGGAAUUAUUGGGCGUAAAGAGCUCGUAGGCGGUUUGUCGCGUCUGCUGUGAAAACCCGAGGCUCAACCUCGGGCCUGCAGUGGGUACGGGCAGACUAGAGUGCGGUAGGGGGAGAUUGGAAUUCCUGGUGUAGCGGUGGAAUGCGCAGAUAUCAGGAGGAACACCAAUGGGCGAAGGCAGAUCUCUGGGCCGUAACUGACGCUGAGGAGCGAAAGCAUGGGGAGCGAACAGG
rnacentral:rRNA from 1 species